rnacentral:misc_RNA from 1 species
GAUGAAGAACGUAGUGAAAUGCGAUAAGUAAUGUGAAUUGCAGAAUUCAGUGAAUCAUCGAAUCUUUGAACGCACAUUGCGCCCGCCAGUAUUCUGGCGGGCAUGCCUGUCUGAGCGUCAUUUCAACCCUCAUGCCCCUAGGGCGUGGUGUUGGGGAUCGGCCAAAGCCCGCGAGGGACGGCCGGCCCCUAAAUCUAGUGGCGGACCCGUCGUGGCCUCCUCUGCGAAGUAGUGAUAUUCCGCAUCGGAGAGCGAUGAGCCACUGCCGUUAAACCCCCAACUUUCCAAGGUUGACCUCAGAUCAGGUAGGAAUACCCGCUGAACUUAAGCAUAUCAAUAAGCGGAGGA